rnacentral:rRNA from 1 species
CGGCAACAGCUCAAAUUUGAAAUCUGAUCAUCUGGUCCGAAUUGUAAUUUGAAGAGGACGUUUCGAGCGUGGUCUAGUCUAAGUUCCUUGGAACAGGACGUCAUAGAGGGUGAGAAUCCCGUAUGUGACUGGGUACCUAAGCUCAUGUGAAGCUCCUUCGAC